GUGGGUUGAACCUGGUUCUAUGGCUAGCCAAACCUCGCGCUUUUAUGGCAAUGUUAAUAUAACACUAAAAUGACAACAUAACAUGACAGGACUACAGUAAAAAUAAAUGCAAGACUAUUCAGGACAGAGUAAUACACAAAUUUUCAAUACAAAAAUACAUUUCGACAGGCUAAUAGUUAUGAGAGGUACCAGGCUUAUAAUUUG
rnacentral:lncRNA from 1 species